GACGAACGCUGGCGGCGUGCCUAACACAUGCAAGUCGAACGGAGAUACUUUUGAAGCUUGCGAUAAAGUAUCUUAGUGGCGGACGGGUGAGUAACGCGUGGGUAAUCUGCCCAUAAGUGGGGGACAACAGUUGGAAACGACUGCUAAUACCGCAUAUGGUGAGUAAUCAUUAAGGAUGGCCUCUUAACAAUGCUGUCGCUUAUGGAUGAGCCCGCGUCUGAUUAGCUAGUUGGUGGGGUAAAGGCCUACCAAGGCGACGAUCAGUAGCCGGCCUGAGAGGGUGAACGGCCACACUGGGACUGAGACACGGCCCAGACUCCUACGGGAGGCAGCAGUGGGGAAUAUUGCGCAAUGGGGGAAACCCUGACGCAGCGACGCCGCGUGAGCGAUGAAGGCCUUAGGGUUGUAAAGCUCUGUUUUAGGGGACGAAUGUCUACCUGAGUAAUAUGCGGGUAGAAUGACGGUACCUUAAGAGGAAGCCCCGGCUAACUACGUGCCAGCCGCCGCGGUAAAAC
rnacentral:rRNA from 1 species